UAUGAUCACUGAGAUUAAGCAACAUCGAGCCUGGUCAGUACUUAGAUGAGUGACCACUUGGGAAUACCAGGUGCUGUAAG